AUUGAACGCUGGCGGCAUGCCUUACACAUGCAAGUCGAACGGUAACAGGUCUUCGGAUGCUGACGAGUGGCGAACGGGUGAGUAAUACAUCGGAACGUGCCCGAUCGUGGGGGAUAACGGAGCGAAAGCUUUGCUAAUACCGCAUACGAUCUACGGAUGAAAGCAGGGGACCGCAAGGCCUUGCGCGGACGGAGCGGCCGAUGGCAGAUUAGGUAGUUGGUGGGAUAAAAGCUUACCAAGCCGACGAUCUGUAGCUGGUCUGAGAGGACGACCAGCCACACUGGGACUGAGACACGGCCCAGACUCCUACGGGAGGCAGCAGUGGGGAAUUUUGGACAAUGGGCGCAAGCCUGAUCCAGCCAUGCCGCGUGCAGGAUGAAGGCCUUCGGGUUGUAAACUGCUUUUGUACGGAACGAAAAGACUCUUUCUACUAAAGAGGGUCCAUGACGGUACCGUAAGAAUAAGCACCGGCUAACUACGUGCCAGCCGCCGCGGUAA
rnacentral:rRNA from 1 species